AACCACAGCGCCGGGAGGCGUAAUCCGGCUAUCACCGACACCUGCAGACAGGCGGGAGGCAGGAAGCAGCGUUUCUGAAAGAGCAACCCCAAACCUUGCCGGGAAGCGAAAGCAUGAAGUAGAAUCACAGACUACGAGGAGGCUGGUUGGGUAACUAGAGAGUGAGCGCUCUUUGAAAUGUCAGCCAAGAGUAGGCCUACGACAGAAAUGCAGCUUGUCCUGCUUAACCUGAUGCUGUGCUAGGACAUGGACCGCCAACACUGGAUUAACCUUGCCUAUAAGCUAUGUUUCUGGGAGGAAGAGCAAGUACACGGUUCACAAAUAUACCAAAUAACAACCAAAUACACCAAAUUUCAACCUGAUGGAUGCCAGAAUACCACUUUUUUUGAACAAAUAUUAAGCAGAAUAAACAUGUAUAUCCCCUUUGGCUCCACGUUUACCAUCACUGAAAUGAAAUUAAAAACUGGAACAAUGAAACAGUAUUUUCUCUGGUUUGUUUGUUUUGGGGUUGUUUUUUUUUUUU